UUAUUAUUUAAACCCUAAAGUUUCUUGUGUGGAAAGAGGCAAAGAGAUCCAAUAGAACAAGUGGCCACCUCUUUGUUUCUACACUCAUAACCUUACUUGCUCUGUUGCUCUUAUUCUCCACCUACUUCAUUCUCCUAAUAAUUCACUUGGAAAUAUUAGCUUGAAUUUGAAGUAGCAAAGUGGAGUUUCUUUUCAAGAUAUUGAUCUCAACUCAUCACAAACUAUAAGAGACUUAAUAUCGGUUGAUUUCAGUAGGAAUACUCACUGGGCUUGGGCACUGGAGAUAGCACCAUGAUGGGCCUUGGGCCCAAACUCACACCAGCAGUUCAAUGAAGCAUUGUGUAGAUUUUUUCCACACAAAAAUGUCUCAAUUAAAUGUUAUUCAUCAAUAUGGAGUAACUUCAUGCAAAAAAUUAUUAUAUGUUGCUGCUUCAUUCAUCUUGGUAUUGCUUCUACAAGGAUGUGAUGGAUAACUAUGGAACAUGCAUGUAUGAAAUUUCAUUGAUGGCUUUUAAAGAAGCUCAUGAAUGAAAAUAAGUUAUAAUUAUGAAACCAAAAGACCCUCUUGUACAUGACAAGGAUAUGAACCUAACAACUAUGUUUUUUGGUGAGUUCCUAUGUUCUUGUGCUGUUGCUGAAGAGAGUUCCCCUUGACAACUUCAAUAUUUGCUUGACUUUUGUUUUAAUCAAUAUUUGCUGAUCAGUGUACUCAACUUGAUCAUGACGGCUUUAGUUUAUUUUUGUACUUCAUUAUUGUAAUAGCACUUAUGAGUUUAUCUUCUAGAAGGAUCCUUUGAACAAGAAGAUGUAAUAAAUUUUAUAUUGGUGUUUAAUUAUUGCCGUGGGAGGUUAUAUAUCUUAGUGUUUUGAGAAA